rnacentral:rRNA from 1 species
GACGAACGCUGGCGGCGUGCUUAACACAUGCAAGUCGAACGGAAAGGCCUGCUUUCCCUUGUGGAUUGCGGGUACUCGAGUGGCGAACGGGUGAGUAACACGUGAGUGAUCUGCCCCCAACUUGGGUAUAAGCCUGGGAAACUGGGUCUAAUUCCCGAUAGGACUGCAGGGUGGUGCCUGUGGUGGAAAACGAUUUUCUAGUGGUUGGGGAUGAGCUCGCGGCCUAUCAGCUUGUUGGUGGGGUCAUGGCCUACCAAGGCGGCGACGGGUAGCCGGCCUGAGAGGGUGGACGGCCACAUUGGGACUGAGAUACGGCCCAGACUCCUACGGGAGGCAGCAGUGGGGAAUAUUGCACAAUGGGCGGAAGCCUGAUGCAGCGACGCCGCGUGGGGGAUGACGGCCUUCGGGUUGUAAACUCCUUUCGACCGCGAGGAAGCCACCUGGUUGGAAGGGUGGUGACGGUAGUGGUAGAAGAAGCACCGGCUAACUACGUG